AGCUCCUACGGGACGCAGCAGUCGGGGAUAUUGCGCAAUGGAGGAAACUCUGACGCAGUGACGCCGCGUAUAGGAAGAAGGUUUUCGGAUUGUAAACUAUUGUCGUGAGGGAAGAAGAUGACAGUACCUCAGGAGGAAGCUCCGGCUAACUAUGUGCCAGCAGCCGCGGUAAUACGUAGGGGGCAAGCGUUAUCCGGAUUUACUGGGUGUAAAGGGAGCGUAGACGGCCAGACAAGUCUGAAGUGAAAAUCCAGCGCUUAACGUUGGAAGUGCUUUGGAAACUGCCGGGCUAGAGUGCAGGAGGG
rnacentral:rRNA from 1 species